UGGGGAAUAUUGCACAAUGGGGGAACCCUGAUGCAGCGACGCCGCGUGAAGGAAGAAGUAUCUCGGUAUGUAAACUUCUAUCAGCAGGGAAGAUAGUGACGGUACCUGACUAAGAAGCCCGGCUAAUUACGUCGCC
rnacentral:rRNA from 1 species